GACGUAGGGCGCGAGCGUUGUCCGGAUUUAUUGGGCGUAAAGAGCUCGUAGGCGGCUUGUCGCGUCGUCCGUGAAAACUUGGGGCUCAACCCCAAGCUUGCGGGCGAUACGGGCAGACUUGAGUACUGCAGGGGAGACUGGAAUUCCUGGUGUAGCGGUGAAAUGCGCAGAUAUCAGGAGGAACACCGGUGGCGAAGGCGGGUCUCUGGGCCGAUACUGACGCUGAGGAGCGAAAGCGUGGGGAGCGAACAGG
rnacentral:rRNA from 1 species